rnacentral:rRNA from 1 species
UUUGCAUAUCAAAAAAGCGGAGGAAAAGAAACCAACAGGGAUUGCCUCAGUAACGGCGAGUGAAGCGGCAAAAGCUCAAAUUUGAAAUCCCCCGGGAAUUGUAAUUUGAAGAGAUUUGGGUCCGGCCGGCAGGGGUUAAGUCCACUGGAAAGUGGCGCCACAGAGGGUGACAGCCCCGUGAACCCCUUUAACGCCCUCAUCCCAGAUCUCCAAGAGUCGAGUUGUUUGGGAAUGCAGCUCUAAGUGGGUGGUAAAUUCCAUCUAAAGCUAAAUACCGGCGAGAGACCGAUAGCGAACAAGUACAGUGAUGGAAAGAUGAAAAGCACUUUGAAAAGAGAGUGAAAAAGUACGUGAAAUUGUUGAAAGGGAAGGGCUUGCAAGCAGACACUUAACUGGGCCAGCAUCGGGGCGGCGGGGAGCAAAACCACCGGGGAAAGUACCCUUCGAGGAUUAUAACCCCGGCCCUUACUCCCAUACCGCCCCGAGGCCUGCAAUCUAAUUACACUGCAUACUCGGAAGG